rnacentral:rRNA from 1 species
UACGAAGGGGGCUAGCGUUGUUCGGAAUCACUGGGCGUAAAGCGCACGUAGGCGGAUCUUUAAGUCAGGGGUGAAAUCCUGGAGCUCAACUCCAGAACUGCCUUUGAUACUGGAGAGCUUGAGUCCGGAAGAGGUGAGUGGAACUCCGAGUGUAGAGGUGAAAUUCGUAGAUAUUCGGAAGAACACCAGUGGCGAAGGCGACUCACUGGCCCGGUACUGACGCUGAGGUGCGAAAGCGUGGGGAGCAAACAGG